AUCUGAUGUGUGCAUGUGCACCACAUAUAUCCUGUACUAUAGAGAUUUGCGCAUGUCCACCUUUUAUUAUAAUCUUUGCUUUGCAGAGGACUGUGCAGAUUAAACUUCUCUACACUAUGGAUUGCAGUUCUUUGUGGAAAGAAAUUAAUAGACAUUUCUUCAACUAGACGUUUCUCACCAAGGGAAAACAUCUGAGCUUCAUCUCAUAAGCAAGGACAUGAUGUAAAACCCAUCUAUACACAAAUCAAUUCGGGCUGUGGGCAAAGGAGAAGGAAAGGAGAAGGCCAAGCCGCAGCAGAUCCAUCGGAAGUGCGGAGUUCAGCAAUGAUCUGGAGCUGCGCAUGCUCGACCUUCAGAGGCAGCAACAACCAAAUUCCUCAGUAAUUCUCCCUGGCAGAGGCCAAGGGAGAAAUGAUUCCUCAAGGUCAAUGAGCAAUGAUGGGGUCUGAUCAAUUGCCCUCACUGCGCUUCAAACACCCAAGUGUCAAGAGAGCUUCUCCUGAUUGGCUGAGUAGAAGGCUAUCUUGGCAGAAAUUCAAUUCACAUCCUGGCAAAACCAAACAAACUUAGGGUUCUCGAGGGCAAGCUUUAUUUGGAACCAGAAAGCGGAUCCCGUAGAGAUUUCAAGUAAUACAUUGGAGACAUAGCUUAACAUUCAUAUUCUGGUUUACUUUAAUAAAACCGUCUCCUCUAACAAUAA